UGGGGAAUUUUGGACAAUGGGCGAAAGCCCGAUCCAGCAAUGCCGCGUGUGUGAAGAAGGCCUUCGGGUUGUAAAGCACUUUUGUCCGGAAAGAAAUCCUUGGCUCUAAUACAGUCGGGGGAUGACGGUACCGGAAGAAUAAGCACCGGCUAACUACGUGCCAGCAGCCGCGGUAAUACGUAGGGUGCAAGCGUUAAUCGGAAUUACUGGGCGUAAAGCGUGCGCAGGCGGUUUGCUAAGACCGAUGUGAAAUCCCCGGGCUCAACCUGGGAACUGCAUUGGUGACUGGCAGGCUAGAGUAUGGCAGAGGGGGGUAGAAUUCCACGUGUAGCAGUGAAAUGCGUAGAGAUGUGGAGGAAUACCGAUGGCGAAGGCAGCCCCCUGGGCCAAUACUGACGCUCAUGCACGAAAGCGUGGGGAGCAAACAGGAUUAGAUACCCUGGUAGUCCACGCCCUAAACGAUGUCAACUAGUUGUUGGGGAUUCAUUCCUUAGUAACGUAGCUAACGCGUGAAGUUGACCGCCUGGGGAGUACGGUCGCAAGAUUAAAACUUAAAUGAAUUGAC
rnacentral:rRNA from 1 species